rnacentral:rRNA from 1 species
AACGAACGCUGGCGGCAGGCUUAACACAUGCAAGUCGAACGCCCCGCAAGGGGAGUGGCAGACGGGUGAGUAACGCGUGGGAACGUACCCCAAGGUUCGGAACAACGCCGGGAAACUGGCGCUAAUACCGGAUGUGACCGUGAGGUGAAAGAUUUAUCGCCUUGGGAUCGGCCCGCGUUAGAUUAGGUAGUUGGUGGGGUAAUGGCCCACCAAGCCUACGAUCUAUAGCUGGUCUGAGAGGAUGAUCAGCCACACUGGGACUGAGACACGGCCCCGACUCCUACGGGAGGCAGCAGUGGGGAAUCUUGGACAAUGGGCGCAAGCCUGAUCCAGCCAUGCCGCGUGAAUGAUGAAGGCCUUAGGGUUGUAAAAUUCUUUCGUCAGGGACGAUAAUGACGGUACCUGAAGAAGAAGCCCCGGCUAACUUCGUGCCAGCCGCCGCAGUAA